rnacentral:lncRNA from 1 species
CUAACCUGGCGCCGUUUCCAUCAUCUCCUACAAGAGAAAACGGAUGCCUUCAUAAAAAAAAAGAGAAGGACCCCCACAAAAAGAACCUGAAGCAGCUGAAACUUUCCCCCUUUUUUAUUUUCUUUAAUCUUCAGUAUUAAUACUUCUCAAAAAUGGCAAAUCCAUUCUUUCUAAAAGUCGGUCGAAUCCCCCAUUUCUUGAACCUGGAGGCACCUCCAACUUUUCAAAAGAAAAAGGACUCAUAAAAGGGCAUCGCUCGCUUCACUAAUAUCUCGAAUAUAAGAUUUUUGACUCCAAUGUGACGACUAUUAUGUUUCUUUCAUUCAAUUUCGACUUUUUGCUUCCAAAUAGAUUUGAGUUUGAUGGAAUUUGAGUUAUUCGGGU